UACGGGGGGGGUAAGCGUUGUUCGGAAUUACUGGGCGUAAAGGGCGCGUAGGCGGCCUGCUAAGUCGAACGUGAAAUCCCUGGGCUCAACCCAGGAACUGCGUCCGAUACUGGUUGGCUUGAAUCCGGGAGAGGGAUGCGGAAUUCCAGGUGUAGCGGUGAAAUGCGUAGAUAUCUGGAGGAACACCGGUGGCGAAGGCGGCAUCCUGGACCGGCAUUGACGCUGAGGCGCGAAAGCCAGGGGAGCAAACGGG
rnacentral:rRNA from 1 species